AGCAGCAAAUGACCCAGUGCACUUUCCUUUUGUGAGUACAAGUCAUACAGUGGUAAGAACUUUGCAACAAACUUUGACAUGGGACAAUCAAAAACAGCAGCCAGCCUGGUCCCCAGAGGGGUUGGAUUCCUGAAGAAUUUAUCAGCAUCUGGAGCAGAGAAUGGAAGCAGAUCUCAGACCAAAUGAGAUGAAAGGAGAAUCAUCUUGUGCUGUGACCCCUCUCUUGGACCCUUCAUUUUCUGCUUUUGAGAGACUGGAUGAGCACCUAAGGUAUAGCUGUUUGCAGAACUCCAGCUCAUACAGCUCAUCCAGCCAGUGCAUGGCACUCUAGCCAAAUGCCAUGUGCUGUGAUGAUGCCAUUUGCCGUAAUAUGACACAGGCAAGGGGGCCUCACCAGACUGAACCAACAAAGCUACCCAAUUUUGGAUUUCCAGCCUCCAAAACCGCAAUCAAAAUUGUCCAUAUCAUGGUGAAGAUGUAAUGAACAUACUGGCCUGUAUCCAUUGGAUUAGGAUGCCCCAGAACAAUGACAAGGACCCAAAGACAGCAAGUCUUUUUCUUCUUCAAGUGGGGCAUUUUAACAUUCAGACUGUUAUAAGUGCAGAGGAAGAGGCAAACUAUGGAAACUCCACCCCGAUCCUGGACUUGAGCAUGUUCAUCACUAACUUGUCUCAUUAAAUCUCCUCAGCCAAGGCACCUGGUCCAAAAAGGUCUCAUCCACCACAGGAUGCCCACACCAUGGACUGAGAUGCAGGAAAUCAGGGAGCUGCAGAUAUGGGAAAGGAUAGAAUCAAGGGCUCUCCUUUAGAUCUGUGAAGUUUGAGAUGUCUGCUAGAUAAUCACAUGGAGACAGAUGGAUUUGGAUAAACAAUGGGCUUUUAAGAAUAAAGCUCU